CCUAAACACUCCAUUUCCAUCUCAUCAACAACAAACCAAACAAAUCCUAAUACAUUGACUAGUUGAAUCCAGCAAUGCUUCAGCUCACCAAUGUCUAUUUUCGAUAAACGUACAGUCGACCCUUUGCUUUGUUCAGUCAUGGUUCGUCCAUUUCGGUGCAUUUCCAAGACAAACAGUGCAGCAUUUGAGGCUUAAGACUGUUACUAUACUUGUCAUAUACUUGAGCUAAGUUGCUGCAGCCUUUUGGCCACUUUUCUGCUAAGUUUUGGACCAUGAGCUGCUGCAUUUGAGUAGAUUAUCACUGCUGCACUCGAGGCUGCCAUCAUGGAUUUUUCGGGCCAUUUGUCGCUGUGUCUUUAAGUUCAUAUCUGUACUUUGAAGCCAACAACUACUGCAUUUCUUUAAGUGGAUGGUUCACUUUGAUAAAUGGUUUGCCACAGUUUCUAUGCUAAAUAGUUGUUGCCUUCUUGAAAUAUUAUUGCUAUCUUACUGUUUUUUGUUAUGGCUGUUCAUUGCUACUGCUUGUUGCUACAACGUUGCUUGUUGUGGCUGCUCAUGAUUGAGCUACUGCCUUGUUAAAAAUGACGCCAAAAAAGCUGUUGUUCUACUUUUAUGAAAAUGAAUAGAUUGCUACCAAAGUCCCGCUGAUUUGAAUAUGAUACUAUACUUGGGCUGAUGAGAACAUUUAAUUUGAGGCCAUGACUUGUCCGGAAAUGUUAUCCCUCGGUUUAGGCGAUGAUGACCUCAUAAUAAUAUCAUGAGGUAGGAACCAACAUGCGUUUGGCGAGGAACCUAGAAUCGCCACUAGUUUGCAGCCAAGAACUGUUUCGGGUUUCUUCAUCACAUUUGGAAACACGAGUCUGAGCCUCCGUAAUCAAAGCUCUCAAAGUUUGAUAUGAGUCCCAGGGGUAUUAUUUUUAUGUUCAUGAAUGUCAUCCUAUGGGGUGGCGUACUAUUUUGACUAACUACUUUUCUUUUCAUUGUGCGAGGUACAAAUAAAACAAGUAUGGAGAGCAAAGCUCAAAGACGAAGUAAAAGGAUCGGAUGCUCAGAGCUUCGAACGAAGAACUAGAAGAGCAUGGAUUGCUAAGGAUUUGGGCCCAAGGCCGAAAAAGCUAAAUCUUCUUCCCCUUUCCUUUAUUUUUGUAUAAAUAUGCUAAUUUUAUAUGUUUACAUUCAUUUUGUAUGAACAUGUAUACUUGCAAAUACCUGUGUAUUAUUGAAACCCUUUAGAACUUAGUUGGAACCUUGCAUAAGAAAAAAUAAUUCAAGUUGUUUUCAAAAACCGUUUUGGGACUUGGCACGCAGAAAGAUAAUAAAACAAAAGAAAUUCCACUUAAAUCCAAGUUGGGGAAGAUGGCUUUGGUAUGGAAUAUGAUUAACCUUAAAUGAGCUAAAAUGGUUAAAUAAGUGAAAUCCUUUUCUUUAUUUAUACUUAUAAUAUUUAUACUAUUUUCUAAAAAGGGGAGAUCUACUCCAUUUUUUCCUAAAUAUAUAUGUAUGCAUAUAAACUUAUAAGGAUAGAAUCAUGACAUUGGAACAAAUUAGUGGAAACUCUACUUAAGAAAAAUCUUAAGUAUGUUUUGGUCUGGAAAUGAAGUGAAUUUAAUCCAUUAUAAACAUUUUCUCAAGGAAAUAAUCAACUUUUCUUCCUUAAAAGAUAAUUUUGUCGAAAAGUGGAGUUGUAUGAUUAGCAUGACAGUUUUAGCAAUAAAGUAAACAUUUUUAGCAAAUAAUAACAUUAAUCACACAUUGAAGCUCGUCGGUUAACUGUAUUCUACGGAUCCUUAAUACUAGGGUGGUUAAAACCUUCCUUAGGAGAUCACAAGAACCUUUACCUCGAACUCUGGUUUAAAAGGGUAUUUCUCUUGUUUUGAUAAACCCUUGUACUCGGUUUUCCUAAUUUCCAUUACAAAAUUAGGUGGCGACUCUACAAACAUAAAAUCCAAAUAGAGUCCACAACAUCUUAGUAGCUUUUAUGCACCGGCGUAAAAGUGAACCGUAACACCCACCAACAAAUCAUCGAAUCCUGUCGAGCUCAGUAGGAAUCGGGGGUGCUGAAUAACGAGCCAAAUGCAAGAAGCGAGUCACAUAAGCAUCAACAGAUAAUCCCUUCUGCUGCAAGUAGAGGAACUCAUAUCUACAUACCUCUCUCAAGGCACGGGGCACAUACUAUUCAAGGAAGGCCCGAUAAAACUGUGUCCAAGUAAGUGGAGGAGAACCUUCUGGUUUGCAAGAAAUGAAGUACCUCCACCAGGUCUUCGCGUCUCCGCAAAAAUGGUAUGGCAUAUAAUCUACCCCGUGGGUCUCCACAAUCCCCAUCCUGUGCAAUAACUCGUGCAUGUCCAAUAUAAACUCAUAUCCAUCCUCUCCAGAAGUGCCAGCGAAUCAUGGUGGAUCCAUCUUCUUGAAUAUCCCUACAAGCUCCUGAUCAGUCAAAGUCAUAACAGGCCCUGCUAUGGGUCUAAGAUCAUCUCCCGGGGCUGGCACUGCAUCCAUCCAUGGUGCCAAUGCUGCAGCAAGGUGCGCUGCACGAGUCUGCCUCUACUCGGGGGUCUAUGUCCCACAUCUAGUCUGUGAUACUCCACCCGCAGAAUUAAUACCAGCGACAGCCUGCUAGUCAUCCAAAUGAAGUAGAACACGAGCCAUAGUAUCCUGCAUCAUCUGCUCUGAAGUGACCUCGACGUGUGCCCUUGCUGGGGCCACAUCAUCCCCGACGGUCUGGUCUCGAACCUGCUAAACCUCAGGCUCAGGAUCUGGAGAUGGAGAUCUCGCACGUUGCUGCCUAGCCGUAGGAGCCCUGUCCCUAGCUGGUGCGGCCCAGCGGCCUCUAACUCGACCGUGUCCUCGAAUGGUCACUCAUCCCCUGGUGCCAGCCUCAGCCGCGGGCUCCAGCACCUGAUCUCAGGCUAUCAUGGCUCGAGUCCUCACCAUCUGUGAGAGAAGAGAUAAGAAUAAGAUACCAAUUCGAUUGUUCCAAAUACCAAUUAGAAUAAAGUAGCAUGAAAGAAUGAAAGAAAGUGAAGUUUCCUAAAUGUCAAGUAGCCUCUCGCAAAUAAGUACGGAGCUUAUCGUACGGGUCCAUGAGACUCUAUUAGACACGCUCUUGUAUUAUAGAUAGGGUAACUGAGGGCUAUGAUACCAACUUGUCACGACCCAAUUUCACUAAGUCGUGCGGACAUCUACUUUUCCCACCUCGGUUGGCGAACCCUUAACUCAACAUUCACAAAUAAUAGAAGAAAAUACCGAAAGGAAGUAAAUAACGUAAGUCUCACGAUAAUCAUAGAAAUAAGUGCGGAAGUAAAUGAAAUCCACCCUAGUAUCUGAUCUGGUCAUACAAGAGCAUCUACCUAAAUACUACUAGUAUGAAUAAUAAUACAUAAGUAGUCUCAAAAUGAUGUCUCAGAAUGGAAAACAGGACAUAAUAAUAGGAAGAGUCUUCGGGCAGUGAACGUCCUCAUGCUCACCCUGUAGAGACUAGAAUUAGUACUCCUCGAAUAUCAGUCACGAGGAGUAGAAAUAGAUCUCACUUGGUACUCUGCAUUCAUAAAAGAAUGAGCAAGUAUGUUACCUUCUCAAAAAAAAAAAAAGAAUGCAGCAAGUACAGAUCAGUACAAACAAUAAGUACUGGUAGGUAUCAUAGGACGACUAGACUAGCUAACACAUAUAGAGACUACAAAGCAAGAUAAACACGGAAAACAACAAGGUACAAGUCAAAACGAAUACAUAACCCCAAUACAAGUCAUCACCUGUGCUAUAGCAUCUAAACCCAACUGUGCCAAGUAUCAGUAUAACCAUUCCGAACCAAUAUAUCACGAUCAUAUCAUAACAGUUCAUCACCUUUGUUAUAGCAUCUAAACUCAACUGUGCCAAGUUUCAGUAUACUGUUCCGAACUAAUAUAUCACAACCAUAUCAUAAUAGAUUCAAUCCCAAACAGUACCACACAUGGUGUACAAGUAAUAUCAAUAAUAAGGCUACACAAUAAGCCACAAUGAAAUCACAAUUAUCAUGAUAAUAUCAAUCAAGUAAAGUACCGCAAUAUCAUAGUCAUGAUAUAUCACUAGUCACUAAUACCCAAUGUCUCAACGUGGCAACGACCCAAUAAGUAAAUAGAUCAAGAUAAGUCAACAACACAACGGGGUGGCUAGCCCUCAAAUCAUACAACAAGCCCUAACCUAAGACAAUAUCCAACCUAACUUCAUACCCAAAGGUUUACAUGCAUUCUCCGAAAAUAUCAUCUAAACAUACGCUUCGCUAAUUGAAGUCUCACCUUAAGGUAAACCGUAACCUACCUGGAGAGCUGAACAACAAAGUCUCCAAUAGUCAAACCUUAGUCUUUCCCUUCCUUUGAGCCUUGAGAUGAUGGAAGUCUAAUCAUAUCUAAAUUAUGAGAUUAGAAUCAAGAAGAAACAACACUCAAUCCUUACAUCUAUUCAAGACCAAAAUCCCAACCUAUGGAAUGGGGUUUACGAACUAAAAGAUGAAAUUAGGAAUCUAUAGGUCUCAACAUGAAAUUAAUGCUCUAGGUGAUCAAUUCCCUUCAAUUAUAGGCUACAAGAACUAACAAAUCACUUAAUUUCGGAUUCUAGGCAAAACUCCCAAAUUUGGAUAUGAACCCUAAUUUCCAAUUCCAUAAAUUAGCCACUAAUUAGGAAGGAAUCAUGCAAUAAUAAUUUCUAAUCAUAAAUUCCAUGCUUAAUGAAGCUAACCCACUCAAUAAAUCAAGACUUAAUAGCCUAGAAUGAAGAACCCACAAAACCCUCUUUCAAUCCAUCAUUUCUUAAGAAAACUCACAUGUUUAAUGGAUUCCUAAGGUGAUUAAUGAAAGAUGGAAUGGAAAGGAAGGUGAAAGGACAUACCACAAUGAUUCUCUAUGAAAAAUAGCCUUGAAUGCUCCCAAAAAGCUCUAAAGUCAGAGUGGUAAUGAAUGAAGGGCAUAUGGCUUUUAUUUAACACACAUUAAAUCUAACUGCCCGUAGCCUACUUCCGCGACACCGCUUCCGUGGUCCCAUGACCGCUUCUGUGGUCUUGCCCAAAAUAUACAAUCUGCUACAGUGGUGGGGUAAUCGCUACCGUGGUCCUGCUACUGCCAUAGCGGGCACCAGACACAAAAAACUCCUAAGUUUUUCAUUAAUUCCACUCGAAAUCCUAACUAUCACCCAAGGCCAUCGACUCACAUACCAUAUAUUCAGACAUACAUGAAAACACGCUACGAACGCACUUGUGGCCUCAGAAUUCCCAAUAGAGGUCUCGUUGACCGAGUCAAUCCCCGGUACCUCAAAACUAACUUCCCAACCCAAAGUCCCAAAAUGCACCCGAGUGCAUUGGGAACUGAACUGAAUAUACACAUAAGUUCUAAAAAACCAUCCGGACCUUUUGAAAUUGACAGAUUCCUGAAAAAGGUUCGUUUACCCAAAAGUCAACUUAGAGUUAACUCUUUUUUGCUUCAAGCCGAAUUUUCCCAAAAAGCCACCCAAAUCAUAUCCAAAGACCUCAGGAAGCAUGUCAACGGUCCCUUCGGUCAAAUGUGAGCUAAACAAGCUCAAGAAAGGGUCAAAAGUAUAAAAAAGGCUAUACAAAAGGACAUGUGAGUAAAAUAUUAUGACCAUUUUGCUUACUUGGGACAGGCUGCAGCGCAACCUGUAUUUCGUAUGUUUAGUCUGCGAUGCAACCUGCAUUUGCAGGUUGAACACCAAAAAUCAGAUUUUUGUAUCACAUUUUGUGUUCGGUCUGCGUCCAGGAGGUCACACCUGCAUUUCUUAAGUCGCGUCGCAGGUAGUGCUCGGCUAUAAAAUUACAGAUCGUGAAAUUUUUGAAAAUAAUUCAUUCCACUCUGUUUUUGGCUGACUUUUUGAGGAGAAAAGACCCUAGAACUUCCCUAAAUAUCCUAAGGUGAGUUCUUCCUCAAACCCCAAGUAUUUUUCCAUCAUAUUAACAAGGAAUACACCAAUAUACGGAUAAUUAAUAAGAUUCUACGCUACAAUCCUAAGAUUCUCGACAAAAAUGAUAAGCUUAAGUGCAUUCAUGUUUUGAUGAUUGUCAAACUAAUUCUGAACCAGGUAGAGACCUGGUUUGUGAUAUGAUCUUUGUACAUCUUGCACGGUAAGAAGAGACAGUUGUAAAGCCAAUCUACUCACUGCACACAAGUACAGCAGUUGAGCUGGCCCGUGCUUUGGGUCAAAUACUGAAUGAGUCGUCUUUAUCCAUCCCACAUGCUUCCCACUAUAUAUAUAGCAUGCUGCAACAUAUUGUGUAUCACUCGAAAAACCUAAUCUAAAUUGGGCAAAAGCUGCCGUCACAAGAUUUCAAGUGAUCAUAAGAACAAGUCACUUGCAAAACUAAAGAACCUAAUCCAGUUACAGAUUUAGUGUAACUUCUUCAUGUUGUUGUAAAUCUUUGUUCUGUUGUGCAAAAAUUGUAAACCUGCUCUUCCUAAAAAGGAAGUUGUUGUAGGUAUAUCAAAUUCUUAGUAGUGGUUAGGCAGUUUACCUUUCAAUUUAUUAAGUUGUUCCCUUGUCUAAAGUUAGCUUAGGUGUAUUAGUUGGGUUUGGUUAGAGGUAGUCAACAUUAGUUUCCUUGGCUAGAGUUAGUCAAGUGGAGGUUGUCAAGUGGAGGUUUUUGCAAUCGGUGUAUUGCAAAAGGUUGAGGGACUACGGGAGUUAGUUCCUAGGUUGCCACCAUUGUAAGGGUUGAGGGAUUAUGGGAGUCAGUUCCUAGCUUACGAUAGGUUGUAAUUUGAAGUUUCUCGUAUAGUGGAGUUGAAAUCCUACUGGGGUAGUGAUGUACCGUGAAAUUAUGGCACAUUCGAUACCUUUUUACGAGAAGUUUUACUUGUUUUUGAGAAAGUAUUUGUCGUUUUUAUGUGUUUUUGUUGUGUUCCAGGUACAUCAUGGAGUUAAGGAUCAAAAGCUAAAAAAAAUUGCUGAAGUUGCACAGAAGUGGACUUUCACGGUCCGUACAAAGUUAUACGAACUGUGUCUUUGGUCGUAUAAAAGAAGGAGAAUGAAGCAGAGUGUUGAACUUGAUGAUGUAGAGACACGAGUGCCUUAUAUGGACCGUACAAUAUUAUACAGGCAGUAUAAGUUGGUCGUGUCAAAGGAUCUUAAGAACGACAAGAAGCUAUAUCUGAAGAGGGAGUUUUACGAUCGAGUUAUAUGGGCCGUGCAAGUUUAUACGAACCGUAUAAUAUCAGCUCGUGUUUUUCUCUUAAGAAUUGAAGACUGGUGGUCGUACAACUUUAUACGGUCCAUCUAAUAUUAUACAGACAUUAUAAGUUGCCGUCAAGGACUUAAGUGUAAAUUUUGUAAUUUUACGUUUUUGAAACCUAUAAAAAGUCCAAUGUAGGGUUUUAUUUAUUAUCAGCUAUUAUACUUUAAGUCUUGACUUAGAGCAUUGAAUAUUCCUUUGUUUUGGAGCUUUAAAACAUAAAUUCAAGUAUUAUUAAUUUCUCUUAUCAUCAAAA